GGCGGCGGCUCGACGCAACCGGCGCGACGGCGGCUUCGACGCGACCGGCGCGACGGCGGCGCACAGCCCCGACGACGACCCUCCCCGCUGCCUUCUCCCCGAUCCCUACAACACCAAUUAUAGUUGGGGAAGGUGAACCUCCUCCCUCUUGGGAUCCGGUACCAACUCCAAAAGAGAGACUUUCAUAUGUGCAUGUGAAGCGGAUCAAGAAUCAGCUUUGAUUUGGCUAAGAAAUGAGAUGGCUUAGUAGGUUUGGGUGAUCAAUCGGUGAUGCUUCCCCUUUGAGAACUUUCGGUAUGAGUCGUUUCUCCCUUCUUACGCAUUACGUCAAGGCACCAGUAAGAGCAUGGACGAUCGUUUGAUUUUUACCAAUACUACGUGCAGGAAUCUACAGUGCACUGUUGUGAUUGGAUAUUAUUGCUUUAGGAACUUAUGCUUUUGCUACCUUCUAUUUUCUAUACUUGUAUGUUGCCCAAUUCAUUUGAAGUUCAUGCUUUGUGCUUUUGGGGUUAACCUUUCAAUACCCUUUGCCCAUGUCCUUGGAAGGCAUUAGUGCAUGACACCGAUAUGAGGGUCAACAAGCUGACAAGACAUGAUUUUUUCUUGACUCGGUUGCCUGUGAUUUAACUUUGCCAUUUGGUUAAUAGAAUACUUUAACGUGCUAUUGCUAGUAGGUAUCUAAAGCUCUCUCCCUCCUCUCUUAUCAUAUACUCACAUGCUGCUAUUUUCUUUUCAGAUUGAGGAGAUGCAUCGUGAACUUUGCAGCUUGGUAAUAUGUUUUAUUCCACCAAUGUCUACGCCUCAGCCUCCAGGCUCUGUAUUUAGGUCCUUUGUACAAAGUUUGGUGCUCAAAGCUAGAGGUGGAGAUCAUAGGAUGGUUGUCAAUGGGACUUUCAACAACACUGUGCUUAUUUCAUUGUACACAGUAAUCCUGCAUUUGUUGUCUGCUGGUGCCCUUCCAUCAUGGUGGAGCCUAAGAUUCAAAAGGAAUGAUGCCUAUCAUAGUACAGGAAUGAUACCAGAGUUGGAUAAAAAAAAUUUAUCACAAUUUUUUGUUGUGGUCCGA